rnacentral:rRNA from 1 species
CCUACGGGAGGCUGUAGUGAGGAAUAUUGGUCAAUGGACGAGAGUCUGAACCAGCCAAGUAGCGUGAAGGAUGACUGCCCUAUGGGUUGUAAACUUCUUUUAUAUGGGAAUAAAACGUUCCACGUGUGGGAUUUUGUAUGUACCAUAUGAAUAAGGAUCGGCUAACUCCGUGCCAGCAGCCGCGGUAAUACGGAGGAUCCGAGCGUUAUCCGGAUUUAUUGGGUUUAAAGGGAGCGUAGGUGGAUUGUUAAGUCAGUUGUGAAAGUUUGCGGCUCAACCGUAAAAUUGCAGUUGAAACUGGCAGUCUUGAGUACAGUAGAGGUGGGCGGAAUGCGUGGUGUAGCGGUGAAAUGCUUAGAUAUCACGAAGAACUCCGAUUGCGAAGGCAGUUCACUGGACUGCAACUGACACUGAGGCUCGAAAGUGUGGGUAUCAAACAGGAUUAGAUACCCCUGUAGUC